rnacentral:rRNA from 1 species
GGAAAUCUCACCGGGCCCGGACACUGGAAGGAUUGACAGAUUGAUAGCUCUUUCUUGAUUCGGUGGGUGGUGGUGCAUGGCCGUUCUUAGUUGGUGGAGUGAUUUGUCUGGUUAAUUCCGAUAACGAACGAGACCCCAACCUGCUAACUAGCCCUCGGGUCCUGCUUCUGUUGGGCCCGACGGAAUGAUUCGCUUCUUAGAGGGACUCGCGGCGCCUAGCCGCACGAAGGGGGGCGAUAA